UUAAGCAUAUCAAUAAGCGGAGGAAAAGAAACUAACAAGGAUUCCCCUAGUAACUGCGAGUGAAGCGGGAAGAGCUCAAAUUUGAAAUCUGGCGGUUCUUGACCGUCCGAGUUGUAAUCUAGAGAAGUGCUACCUGUGCUGGACCGUGUACAAGUCUCCUGGAAUGGAGCAUCACAGAGGGUGAGAAUCCCGUCUUUGACACGGACUGCCUGUACGUUAUGGUGCGCUCUCGAAGAGUCGAGUUGUUUGGGAAUGCAGCUCAAAAUGGGUGGUAAAUGCCAUCUAAAGCUAAAUAUUGGCGAGAGACCGAUAGCGAACAAGUACCGUGAGGGAAAGAUGAAAAGAACUUUGGAAAGAGAGUUAAACAGUACGUGAAAUUGCUGAAAGGGAAACGCUUGAAGUCAGUCGCGUCGGCCAGAAAUCAGCCUUGCUUUUGCUUGGUGUACUUUCUUGUUGAUGGGUCAGCAUCAAUUUCGACCAUCGGAUAAAGUCGUUGGGAAUGUGGCAUCUUCGGAUGUGUUAUAGCCCAGCGUCGCAUACGGUGGUUGGGAUUGAGGAACUCAGCACGCCGCGAGGCCGGGUCUCUCGAGACCACGUCCGUGCUUAGGAUGCUGGCAUAAUGGCUUUAAUCGACCCGUCUUGAAACACGGACCAAGGAGUCUAACAUGCCUGCGAGUGUUUGGGUGGAAAACCCAUGCGCGAAAUGAAAGUGAAAGUUGAGAUCCCCCUUCUGGGGGGGAGCAUUGACGCCCGGACCAGACCUUUUGCGAAGGAUCCGCGGUAGAGCAUGUAUGUUGGGACCCGAAAGAUGGUGAACUAUGCCUGAAUAGGGUGAAGCCAGAGGAAACUCUGGUGGAGGCUCGYAGCGAUUCUGACGUGCAAAUCGAUCGUCAAAUUUGGGUAUAGGGGCGAAAGACUAAUCG
rnacentral:rRNA from 1 species